AACCUUGAGCCACAAAAAGUCAACCUUGAGCCAAGCAGAUUGGAGAGUCAUACAUGCCAUUCCUGGGACCAUCAAAAAUGGCAGAGGUCACACAAAAAGGCAAAACUUUUAAGAGGUGUUUUAAACGUCGUAUGGGCCAAAGAGAAGCUGGAUUUCCUAUUGGAGUCACCUGUAACACACGUGUGACGAAAUUGGCCUGUGAGGACAAGGCAGUGAGCAGAGAGGACAGCAGUCCUUAUGAGAUCAAGCUCUAAGGCCUGGAGUGCAGUGGAGCAAUCUCAGCUCACUGCAGCCUCCGCCUCCCGGAUUCAAGUGAUUCUCCUGCUUCAGAUUCUCGAGUAGCUGGGAUUACAGUUUUGAGAAGAAUGCGAAGAAGAAAGGAAGAGUGAGCCUCUCUUUCCCAUCGUUACCCUCCAUUGUCCUCUUGACACCCUGCUUUCACAGAGAAAGAGUUUGAGACCCUCUCCCAGGAGCCAAGGAGAGGGGAACAGCUGGCUUCACAUCAUCUUUCUAUUCAACAAGAUACAAAAAGCUGAAGCCAGGAUGAUAGAAAAGCAACAAAGAAGACACGGUCCUUACUCAUUUCCCUUCCCACUUCAGAGCAAAUGUGAGAAAAGAUUUCAUGCAAUGCUUUAGAGAGGGGAUGCCUCAGACAAUCGGUCAUCAGUGAGGAAGAACUGAAGCAAAACCUGCUGAGCUGUGAGGCUGACUUGCUUCUCAGGCAGCGCUGGGAUGAUGUAUUGUCCUUCCUGACUUGUGACAAAGAGAACUAUUCGGUGCUGGGGUUGAGCUAGGGAUAUGAUAGAUAUCUUUAAUUAUAUGAUAAUCAGAGAUGAGCUAAUUAGAUAUCACUUGA
ensembl:lncRNA MIR7515HG MIR7515 host gene